rnacentral:rRNA from 1 species
GAUGAACGCUGGCGGCGUGCCUAAUACAUGCAAGUCGAGCGAACAGAUGAGGAGCUUGCUCCUCUGACGUUAGCGGCGGACGGGUGAGUAACACGUGGAUAACCUACCUAUAAGACUGGGAUAACUUCGGGAAACCGGAGCUAAUACCGGAUAAUAUAUUGAACCGCAUGGUUCAAUAGUGAAAGACGGUUUUGCUGUCACUUAUAGAUGGAUCCGCGCCGCAUUAGCUAGUUGGUAAGGUAACGGCUUACCAAGGCAACGAUGCGUAGCCGACCUGAGAGGGGGAUCGGCCACACUUGAACUGGGACACGGUCCAAACUCCUAAGGGAGGGAGCAGUAGGGAAUCUUCCGCAAUGGGCGGAAACCUUACGGAGGAACGGCGCGUGAGUGAUGAAGGUCUUCGGAUCGUAAAACUUUGUUAUUAGGGAAGAACAAAUGUGUAAGUUACUAUGCACGUCUUGACGGUACCUAAUCAGAAAGCCACGGCUAACUACGUG